rnacentral:rRNA from 1 species
CAGCAGCCGCGGUAAUACGAAGGGUGCAAGCGUUAAUCGGAAUUACUGGGCGUAAAGCGUGCGUAGGCGGUGGGUUAAGUCUGCUGUGAAAUCCCCGGGCUCAACCUGGGAAUGGCAGUGGAUACUGGCUCGCUAGAGUGUGUCAGAGGAUGGUGGAAUUCCCGGUGUAGCGGUGAAAUGCGUAGAGAUCGGGAGGAACACCGAUGGCGAAGGCAGCCCCCUGGGCCAACACUGACGCUCAUGCACGAAAGCGUGGGGAGCAAACAGGAUUAGAUACCCCCGUAGUCCCUGUCUCUUAUAC